rnacentral:rRNA from 1 species
AACGAACGCUGGCGGCAGGCUUAACACAUGCAAGUCGAGCGCCCCGCAAGGGGAGCGGCAGACGGGUGAGUAACGCGUGGGAAUCUACUCAUCUCUACGGAAUAACGCAUGGAAACGUGUGCUAAUACCGUAUACGUCCUUCGGGAGAAAGAUUUAUCGGGGAUGGAUGAGCCCGCGUUGGAUUAGCUAGUUGGUGGGGUAAAGGCCUACCAAGGCGACGAUCCAUAGCUGGUCUGAGAGGAUGAUCAGCCACACUGGGACUGAGACACGGCCCAGACUCCUACGGGAGGCAGCAGUGGGGAAUGUUGGACAAUGGGCGCAAGCCUGAUCCCGCCAUGCCGCGUGAGUGAUGAAGGCCCUAGGGUUGUAAAGCUCUUUCACCGGUGAAGAUAAUGACGGUAACCGGAGAAGAAGCCCCGGCUAACUUCGUGCCAGCCGCCGCAGUAAGAC